GGAUUAGAUACCCUAUUAUAAAUUUGAAAAGUUUAGUAGUAAGUGAAAAUCAUGAAACUAAAAUUAAUUGGCGGCUUUUUAAAUAUUUUAGAGAAAUUUAUUCUUUAAAGGAGUCAACCCCAAAAUCUUACUUUUUUUUGUAUUAUUACAUUUCAUAUACCUCUAUUUAUUGGUUAUUAGUUUAAUUAUAAAUUUAGCUUUUUUAGAUAAAUCUUAGGGAAAGGUGUGGAUAAUAGAAAAGAGUGAAAUAAGUUUCAUUAAUUAGUAUUUAAUGAUUUAUUUUUGUAAUAAAAAUAAAAAAUAGAAUUUAAAAGUAAUAUUAGUAUAUUUUGCUAAUUUGAAUUAGUUUUUAAAAGUGUACAUAUUGCCCGCC
rnacentral:rRNA from 1 species